rnacentral:rRNA from 1 species
UACGUAGGGGGCAAGCGUUGUCCGGAUUUAUUGGGCGUAAAGCGCACGCAGGCGGUCGAGGAAGUUCAGGGUGACAGUUCCCGGCUCAACUGGGGAAGGACCUUGAAAACUCCUGGACUUGAGGGCUUCAGAGGGACACGGAAUUCCGGGUGUAGUGGUGAAAUGCGUAGAUAUCCGGAGGAACACCAAAGGCGAAGGCAGUGUCCUGGGAAGUCUCUGACGCUCAGGUGCGAAAGCUAGGGGAGCGAACGGG